rnacentral:rRNA from 1 species
GAUGAACGCUGGCGGCGUGCCUAAUACAUGCAAGUCGAGCGAACAGACGAGGAGCUUGCUCCUCUGUCGUUAGCGGCGGACGGGUGAGUAACACGUGGAUAACCUACCUUUCAUUCUGGGAUAUCUUCGGGACACCGGAGCUAAUACCGGAUAAUAUAUUGAUCCGCAUGGUUCAAUAGUGAAAGUCGGUUUUUCUGUCUCUUAUCGCUGGUUACGCGCUGCAUUAUCUAGUUGGUAAGGUAACGGCUUACCACGGCGACGAUGCGUAGCCGACCUGAGAGGGGGAUCGGCCAAACGGGAGCUGAGAGGCGACAAGGACACCAAAGGGAGGCAGCGGAAGGGAAUCGGCCGAAGUGGGCGAAAGACUGACGAAGCAACGCAGCGUGAGUGAAGAAGGUCUUCGGAUCGUAAAACUCUGUUAUGGGGGAAGAACAAAUGUGUAAGUAACUAUGCACGACUGAACGGAACCUAAAAAGAAAGCCACGGCUAACUACGU